CGCUAUAAAAACUUCCCAUCAGGCUGUCAGUGGAGUUCACAGCACGUCACUUUCAACAUAAACCAUGUUUUCUGUAGCUCUGCUGCUGCUGUUGGCAGCUGGAUGUGUGAAGUGUGAACAGUUGACACAGCCAGCCUCUGUGACUGUGCAGCCAGGUCAACGUCUGACCAUCACCUGUCAGGUCUCUUAUUCUCUUAGUGGCUACUGGACAGCUUGGAUCAGACAGCCUGCAGGGAAAGGACUGGAGUGGAUUGGAAGCAGAGCUGGAUCCACCACAUCCUACAAAGAUUCCCUAAAGAACAAGUUCAGUAUCUCCUUAGACUCUUCCAGCAAAACAGUGACUCUAAACGGACAGAAUGUGCAGCCUGAAGACACUGCUGUGUAUUACUGUGCCAGAGAUCCACAGUGAGAGACAAUAAUGUGAGAGUCAUACAAAAAGUACUUCCUCUUUUUACCACCACCACUAUCGACAUUUACUUGCCGUCUCAGUAUUACUUGUUUUGUUAUUUUCACAAUGCUGAUUGAAUAGUAAAGUUGCAACGUAAGAAAAAA